rnacentral:rRNA from 1 species
CACGCCGUAAACGGUGGGCACUAGGUGUGGGCAACAUUCCACGUUGUCCGUGCCGCAGCUAACGCAUUAAGUGCCCCGCCUGGGGAGUACGGCCGCAAGGCUAAAACUCAAAGGAAUUGACGGGGGCCCGCACAAGCGGCGGAGCAUGUGGCUUAAUUCGACGCAACGCGAAGAACCUUACCAAGG